UUGAAUUAGAAAAUAGAAAGCCAAAAGGCCAAAGUUCAUAUCAAACUAACAAUUGCUUUAUGUCAAUCAACAACAAUGCCUGUCGACCAGAAACUAAAUCAAGAUCAAUUCUUCAUUCAAAGGACAAGAACAGAGAUAUGAAGAAAGGAAUCUUAUGAUAUUGCAUUGAAAAAUAACAAAAAAAUCCAGGUAUUGAGAGCAAAGGCAGAACUCGAAGCAUCAAAAUUAAAAAACAAUAAAACAUUGUCUCCUCAUUCCAGAACAAACAAAGACAAAACCUCAAGUUUGAAAGCAAAUAAAAACAGGGUAAGAACUAAAACUAAGAGGAAAUUUCAAAAAUUUUCACCAGAUUAAAAUUAG
rnacentral:lncRNA from 1 species